rnacentral:rRNA from 1 species
AUGGGAAGAGUCACCAGGAGCGCUGCUGCCAAGGGUUUAUCCCCACUUGCUGGAAUAGUGGCCCGUAGAGCUGGUGGUGCUAGGAAGGAUCCUGCUUUGGAUUCUUGCAAUGUUACAAGCAUGAAGCGUGCACCCAGAGUUCCUAUAAAGUUUUGCUCCCCUGUGCAGCAGCUUCACCCUCAUAAUUUCCCUCGCCUGGACAAGGCUCGCAAGUUGUAUAAUCUGUUGCUUAGCGAUGAAGCAUGUGAGAAGUAUGCCGAGAAUACAUUCUCAAUGAUACCUCAGCCCGAUGAUAGCGUAACCAGCUUCACUGGGAAACGCAUUUGGGAAGGUUUUGCACCUGGGCAAAUGAUGGAGGGUGAUGUAAUGGACUUCCUCAUUGAUGAUUGGAAGAAAGAUCCCGAUAGAAAUGUUGAUUUUACGUCUGGGAAAAGGGUAUUGCUGAGUCCAUAUUUCAUCACGGUUGUGCUUGACUGUACGUUUUACAGAGGUAAAGAUAAAGAGUUUAAUGUGGAGAGUGCACCGAGAAAUUUCUGGAUCUAUGUUAAAAAGAGGAAGACUUGCUCACUGCCAACCUUAUCAUGA